rnacentral:rRNA from 1 species
UACGGGGGGGGCAAGCGUUGUUCGGAAUUACUGGGCGUAAAGGGCUCGUAGGCGGCCAACUAAGUCAGACGUGAAAUCCCUCGGCUUAACCGGGGAACUGCGUCUGAUACUGGAUGGCUUGAGUUUGGGAGAGGGAUGCGGAAUUCCAGGUGUAGCGGUGAAAUGCGUAGAUAUCUGGAGGAACACCGGUGGCGAAGGCGGCAUCCUGGACCAAUACUGACGCUGAGUGAGCGAAAGCCAGGGGAGCAAACGGG